GUUUAACCAAAUAUUUUCCCAUUACUAUUAAUAAUUUAUCACACACACUUGAUGAUAUUUCUCUGACAAUUCAGAAGUCAGCCUUUUUAAAAUUAUGUUGUACUUUUCAGAAUUCAUACCUAGUAUGAUAUGAUACCCUAAAAUUAGAUUUUUUAUGUAUAAGCUGAUGGCACAAUUGAGUAGAUAUGCUUGUUUAUAGCAUUAUUCUGCUUGCUUUUAAUCUAACCAAGUUUAAAAUCUUGGUCCUCCCUUACAAAGCAGAUGUUUAUGUAUUAAAAGCACUAUUGAAUUCUAUUGUAAACCUUCAUUUAGCGUGAUUUCAACACUGCACAGAUACUAUAAAUGCUCUUAGCUCAACAUGACUGCAAUAAAUGCUAAAAAGGAGUCCAAAUUUAAUUUAUUCUAUUUUUGAAAUUCAAAUCAUCAUCAUACAUAUUAUGGUUUUAACAAGUUAGAUACAUAGGUAGAAUGUUAAUUACAAACGGAAAAUACUAUAUGCUCUUUGUAUCCUCAUUAAAAACAAUAUAGCUAUGAGCAUUUUUUUUUUCAAAUCAGGCAAAUUUGUUUAAUUAUGA
rnacentral:lncRNA from 1 species